rnacentral:tRNA from 1 species
AACGAGAUAGUUUAAAAGGUUGGAACGUUAGAAUCAUAAUCUAAAAGUUAUAGGUUCGAAUCCUAUUCUCGUUA